rnacentral:rRNA from 1 species
CCUACGGGGUGCUGCAGUGGGUGAUAUUGCACAAUGGGGGGAACCCUGAUGCAGCGACGCCGCGUGGGUGAAGAAGCGCCUCGGCGCGUAAAGCCCUGUCAGCAGGGAAGAAAAUGACGGUACCUGAAGAAGAAGCCCCGGCUAACUACGUGCCAGCAGCCGCGGUAAUACGUAGGGGGCAAGCGUUAUCCGGAUUUACUGGGUGGAAAGGGGGCGCAGACGGCGAUGCAAGCCAGGAGUGGAAGCCCGGGGCCCAACCCCGAGACUGCUCUUGGAACUGCGUGGCUGGAGUGCAGGAGGGGCAGGCGGAAUUCCUGGUGUAGCGGUGAAAUGCGUAGAUAUCAGGAGGAACACCGGUGGCGAAGGCGGCCUGCUGGACUGCAACUGACGUUGAGGCCCGAAAGCGUGGGGAGCAAACAGGAUUAGAUACCCGAGUAGUC